rnacentral:rRNA from 1 species
GAGUUUGAUCAUGGCUCAGGACGAACGCUGGCGGCGUGCCUAAUACAUGCAAGUGGAACGCAUUGAUUUCACCGGAGCUUGCUCCACCGAAAUUAGUGAGUCGCGAACGGGUGAGUAACGCGUAGGUAACCUACCUCUUAGCGGGGGAUAACUAUUGGAAACGAUAGCUAAUACCGCAUAACAAUAGGAUACACAUGUACCCUAUUUAAAAGGAGCAACUGCUUCACUAAGAGAUGGACCUGCGUUGUAUUAGCUAGUUGGUAGGGUAACGGCCUACCAAGGCAUCGAUACAUAGCCGACCUGAGAGGGUGAUCGGCCACACUGGGACUGAGACACGGCCCAGACUCCUACGGGAGGCAGCAGUAGGGAAUCUUCGGCAAUGGGGGGAACCUUGACCGAGCAACCGCCGCGUGAGUGAAGAAGGUUUUCGGAUCGUAAAGCUCUGUUGUAAGAGAAGAANCGUGUGAGAGAGUGGAAAGUUCUCANCAGUGACGUACUGC